AGGCUAUCUUGCUUCUAAAGCACGAAGGCCUCUGUGCUUUCAUUUUAUUUUCCUCUAAUAAGACAACGUCUAAAUCGACGACCCAUUCCUUUAAACUUGAUUUACACUAAUUGAAGUAUUUAGAAGUCAGGUUUCAUAAUUUUUUGAUAUUAUCUGCCUCGUGAUCGAAAGAUCUCAAAAAUUAAUUAUUUUAAUGAUCGAUACGAGUUGAUUGUAAGUUUAAUAGUGUAAAAAUAUCUCAAUUAGGUAAAAUUUUGAUAUAAUAUUUUUUAUUUUCUAAAGUGAGAUAAGUGUUUCCGACCUUAAAGUCAAAUCAUAUAUUAUUAUUUUUUAUAAGAUUUUUAUUUCCAACCGUUCAUUUUGGAAUAAUUUAAUCACAAAAUAAAUUAUACCGAAAAGUUACUUAACUUUUCGUUAGAUACUCCAAAUAGUAUAGAUCAAAUCUGAUAAAGUAGAUCAUCUUCAGAAAAAGAAAAAAAAUGGAAU
rnacentral:lncRNA from 1 species